GCCAUCACAAAUAGCUCAGUCGGUAGAGUACAAGUCUCUUGAUUUCCAGGUUGUGGGUUCGAGCCCCACCUGGGGCA